rnacentral:rRNA from 1 species
CAAGUCGACGGAAAGUGCCCCUUUGGGGGUGACUCGAGUGGCGAACGGGUGAGUAACACGUGGGUGAUCUGCCCUGCACUUUGGGAUAAGCCUGGGAAACUGGGUCUAAUACCGGAUAUACCCUGCUGGUCGCAUGGCCUGGUGGGGGAAAGCUUUUGCGGUGUGGGAUGGGCCCGCGGCCUAUCAGCUUGUUGGUGGGGUGAUGGCCUACCAAGGCGACGACGGGUAGCCGGCCUGAGAGGGUGUCCGGCCACACUGGGACUGAGAUACGGCCCAGACUCCUACGGGAGGCAGCAGUGGGGAAUAUUGCACAAUGGGCGCAAGCCUGAUGCAGCGACGCCGCGUGGGGGAUGACGGCCUUCGGGUUGUAAACCUCUUUCAGCAUCGACGAAGCGCAAGUGACGGUAGAUGCAGAAGAAGCACCGGCCAACUACGUGCCAGCAGCCGCGGUAAUACGUAGGGUGCGAGCGUUGUCCGGAAUUACUGGGCGUAAAGAGCUCGUAGGUGGUUUGUCGCGUUGUUCGUGAAAACUCACAGCUUAACUGUGGGCGUGCGGGCGAUACGGGCAGACUGGAGUACUGCAGGGGAGACUGGAAUUCCUGGUGUAGCGGUGGAAUGCGCAGAUAUCAGGAGGAACACCGGUGGCGAAA